AAUAAAUUUUUUAUGGUUUAAAAAAUUUAUUAAAAAUUUAUUUUACAUAUUAAUUUUUGUAUAAUAAUUUAUAAAUUUAAAAAAUUUAUAAAUUAAUAAUUAAAGUAGUAAUUAAUAUUAAAUAAUUUAAGUAAUUAAGAUUUAGUAAUAUUUAAAUUAAUAACAAAUUUUGUGCCAGCAGUUGCGGUUAUACAAAAAUUAAAUUAAAUUUUCUUAGUUAAUUAAUAAAUAAUUUUAAUUAAUAAUAUAAAUUUUGAAUUAUUAAGUGAAAUUUUAAUUUAAAUAAAAUUUUAUUUUAAAAUUAUUAUUUAAUAAAUUUUUUUAAGAAACUAGGAUUAGAUACCCUAUUAUUAAAUUUUUAAAUUAUAAUACUAAAAUAGUAAAUAAUUAUUUAUUGAAACUUAAAUAAUUUGGCGGUAUUUUAGUUCAUUUAGAGGAAUCUGUUUAAUAAUUGAUAAUCCACGAAUAAAUUUACUUAAUUAUUUAUUUUGUAUAUCGUUGUUAAAAAAAUAUUUUUUAAUAAUAAAUAAUAUUUAAAAAUUUAUAAUAUAAAUUAAAUCAGAUCAAGAUGCAGAUUAUAAUUAAGAAUAUAAUGGAUUACAAUAAAUUUAUUUAAAUGAAUAUUAAUUUGUAAAAAUUAAUUGAAGGUGGAUUUAAAUGUAAUUUUAUUUAAUUUAAUAAAAUGAUUAAAAAUUAAAAUAUGUACAUAUUGCCCGUCGCUUUCAUAUAAACAUAAAUUGAAAUAAGUCGUAACAAAGUAGAGGUACUGGAAAGUGUUUCUAGAAAGAU
rnacentral:ncRNA from 1 species